UACAUGCCACGAUGCCCUGACCUUGCGGAAAGGGUGCAUUUAUUAGAUCAAAACCAGCCGGGCUUCGGCUCGAUGGCUUGAUGACUCUGGAUAACUUUACUGAUCGCACGGCCUUUGUGUCGGUGACGUAUCUUUCAAAUGUCUGCCCUAUCAACUUAAGAUGGUAGGUGAUAUGCCUACCAUGGUUAUAACGGGUGACGGGGAAUCAGGGUUCGAUUCCGGAGAGGGAGCCUGAGAAACAGCUACCACAUCCAAGGAAGGCAGCAGGCGCGCAAAUUACCCACUCCCGGCACGGGGAGGUAGUGACGAAAAAUAACGAUACGGGACUCAAUCGAGGCCCCGUAAUUGGAAUGAGAACACUUUAAAUCCUUUAACGAGGAUCAAUUGGAGGGCAAGUCUGGUGCCAGCAGCCGCGGUAAUUCCAGCUCCAAUAGCGUAUAUUAAAGUUGUUGCAGUUAAAAAGCUCGUAGUUGGAUCUGAGGAGUGGAAUGGAUGGUUCACCUUUCGGUGUGACUGUCUGUUCAGCCUUCACAGCCGUGGAUGCCCUUUGUGCUCUUCACUGAGUGCUUUGGGUGCCCGGCACGUUUACUUUGAAAAAAUUAGAGUGCUUAAAGCAGGCCUUGUGCUUGUAUAGUGUUGCAUGGAAUAAUGGAAUAGGACUUCGGUUCUAUUUUGUUGGUUUUCGGAUCCGAAGUAAUGAUUAACAGAGACAGACGGGGGCAUUUGUAUGGCGGUGUUAGAGGUGAAAUUCUUGGAUCGCCGCCAGACAAACUACUGCGAAAGCAUUUGCCAAGAAUGUUUUCAUUAAUCAAGAACGAAAGUCAGAGGUUCGAAGACGAUCAGAUACCGUCCUAGUUCUGACCAUAAACGAUGCCAUCUGAUCAUCUGCGGCGGUUGCUUGUACGACCCUGCGGGCAGUCCUCGGGAAACCAAAGUCUUUGGGUUCCGGGGGAAGUAUGGUUGCAAAGCUGAAACUUAAAGGAAUUGACGGAAGGGCACCACCAGGAGUGGAGCCUGCGGCUUAAUUUGACUCAACACGGGAAAACUCACCCGGCCCGACACUAGGAGGAUUGACAGACUGAGGGAUCUUUCUCGAUUUGGUGGAUGGUGGUGCAUGGCCGUUCUUAGUUGGUGGAGCGAUUUGUCUGGUUAAUUCCGAUAACGAACGAGACUUUAACCUGCUAAAUAGAACGGAGGCCAACGCCUGUGGAACUUCUUAGAGGGACUAAUGUUGUUUAAACGUAUGAGAAAGAGCAAUAACAGGUCUGUGAUGCCCUUAGAUGUUCGGGGCGGCACGCGCGCUACACUGACGGUAUCAACGAGUAUGAUCCUGGCUUGAGAAUGCUGGGCAACCUGUUGAAUCACCGUCGUGACAGGGAUCGGGGCUUGUAAUUAUUCCCCGUGAACGAGGAAUUCCCAGUAAGCGCAAGUCAUAAGCUUGCGUUGAUUACGUCCCUGCCCUUUGUACACACCGCCCGUCGCUACUACCGAUUGAAUGGUUUAGU
rnacentral:rRNA from 1 species